rnacentral:rRNA from 1 species
AGGGAUUGCCUCAGUAACGGCGAGUGAAGCGGCAACAGCUCAAAUUUGAAAUCUGGCUCCCUCGGUGCCCGAGUUGUAAUUUGUAGAGGGUGCUUCGGCGUCGGCCCGGGCCUAAGUUCCUUGGAACAGGACGUCACAGAGGGUGAGAAUCCCGUACGUGGCCCCCGGCCUUCACCAAGUGAGGCCCCUUCGACGAGUCGAGUUGUUUGGGAAUGCAGCUCUAAAUGGGAGGUAAAUUUCUUCUAAAGCUAAAUACCGGCCAGAGACCGAUAGCGCACAAGUAGAGUGAUCGAAAGAUGAAAAGCACUUUGGAAAGAGAGUCAAAAAGCACGUGAAAUUGUUGAAAGGGAAGCGCUUGCAGCCAGACUUGCCCGCAGUUGCUCACCCAGGCUUACGCCUGGUGCACUCUUCUGCGGGCAGGCCAGCAUCGGUUCGGGCGGUCGGAUAAAGGCCCCGGGAAUGUGGCCCCUCUCGGGGGGUGUUAUAGCCCGGGGUGCAAUGCGGCCAGCCCGGACCGAGGACCGCGCUCCGGCUAGGAUGCUGGCGUAAUGGCCGCAAGCGGCCCGUCUUGAAACACGGACCAAGGAGUCUAACAUCUAUGCGAGUGUUUGGGUGUCAAGCCCGGGCGCGCAAUGAAAGUGAACGGAGGUGGGAACCCCUCGGGGCGCACCAUCGACCGAUCCUGAUGUCUUCGGAAGGAUUUGAGUAAGAGCAUAGCUGUUGGGACCCGAAAGAUGGUGAACUAUGCCUGAAUAGGGUGAAGCCAGAGGAAACUCUGGUGGAGGCUCGCAGCGGUUCUGACGUGCAAAUCGAUCGU